rnacentral:rRNA from 1 species
AACCAUGGCGUGUUAUGCCUUAGUACGGCGAGUGAAGCGGCAAAAGCUCAAAUUUGAAAUCUGGCGUCUUCGACGUCCGAGUUGUAAUUUGAAGAAGGCGACUUUGUAGCUGGUCCUUGUCUAUGUUCCUUGGAACAGGACGUCAUAGAGGGUGAGAAUCCCGUGUGGCGAGGAUCCCAGUUAUUUGUAAAGUGCUUUCGACGAGUCGAGUUGUUUGGGAAUGCAGCUCUAAGUGGGUGGUAAAUUCCAUCUAAAGCUAAAUAUUGGCGAGAGACCGAUAGCGAACAAGUACAGUGAUGGAAAGAUGAAAAGAACUUUGAAAAGAGAGUGAAAAAGUACGUGAAAUUGUUGAAAGGGAAGGGCAUUUGAUCAGACAUGGCGUUUGCUUCGGCUUUCGCUGGGCCAGCAUCAGUUUUAGCGGUUGGAUAAAUCCUCGGGAAUGUGGCUCUGCUUCGGUAGAGUGUUAUAGCCCGUGGGAAUACAGCCAGCUGGGACUGAGGAUUGCGACUUUUGUCAAGGAUGCUGGCGUAAUGGUUAAAUGCCGCCCGUCUUGAACCCCCGGACCA